rnacentral:rRNA from 1 species
UACGGGGGGUGCAAGCGUUAUUCGGAUUUAUUGGGCGUAAAGGGCGCGUAGGCGGCUUGGUAAGUCAGAUGUGAAAGCCCGGGGCUCAACCCCGGAAGUGCAUUUGAAACUAUCAGGCUUGAGUAUGGGAGAGGGAAGUGGAAUUCCUGGUGUAGAGGUGAAAUUCGUAGAUAUCAGGAGGAACACCGGUGGCGAAGGCGACUUCCUGGACCAAUACUGACGCUGAGGCGCGAAGGCGUGGGGAGCAAACAGGAUUAGAAACCCUAGUAGUCC